rnacentral:ncRNA from 1 species
GUCAGCACCCCCGGCUGAAGCACGGGGGCUUCGUGCCCUCCCCUUCAGGUAGCUGACCAGCUUAAGCCUUAACUGGCUACGUUCAGAGCAAGAGUUAA